UAGUAACGGCGAGUGAAGCGGCAACAGCUCAAAUUUGAAAUCUGGCGUAAGCCCGAGUUGUAAUUUGUAGAGGAUGCUUCUGGGUAGCGGCCGGUCUAAGUUCCUUGGAACAGGACGUCAUAGAGGGUGAGAAUCCCGUAUGUGACUGGCUUGCACCCUCCACGUAGCUCCUUCGACGAGUCGAGUUGUUUGGGAAUGCAGCUCUAAAUGGGAGGUAAAUUUCUUCUAAAGCUAAAUACCGGCCAGAGACCGAUAGCGCACAAGUAGAGUGAUCGAAAGAUGAAAAGCACUUUGGAAAGAGAGUUAAAAAGCACGUGAAAUUGUUGAAAGGGAAGCGCCCGCAACCAGACUUUGCGGCGGUGUUCGGCUGGUCUUCUGACCGGUUUACUCGCCGCCGUGAGGCCAUCAUCGUCUGGGACCGCUGGAUAAGACCUGAGGAAUGUAGCUCCCUUCGGGGUGUGUUAUAGCCUCUGGUGAUGCAGCGCGUCUCGGGCGAGGUCCGCGCUUCGGCAAGGAUGAUGGCGUAAUGGUUGUCGGCGGCCCGUCUUGAAACACGGACCAAGGAGUCUAACAUCUAUGCGAGUGUUCGGGUGUCAAACCCCUACGCGUAAUGAAAGUGAACGGAGGUGGGAACUUUUUGUGCACCAUCGACCGAUCCUGAUGUCCUCGGAUGGAUUUGAGUAAGAGCAUAGCUGUUGGGACCCGAAAGAUGGUGAACUAUGCCUGAAUAGGGUGAAGCCAGAGGAAACUCUGGUGGAGGCUCGCAGCGGUUCUGACGUGCAAAUCGAUCGUC
rnacentral:rRNA from 1 species